rnacentral:tRNA from 1 species
UGUAGGUUGGGUAGUAGUACGAUUUAUUGUGGUUAAAUUAGGGUAGCCUGUG